GGGGCCGGGUUAGGGUUACCGGGGCGGGGCCGGGUCAGGGGGCGGGGCCGGGUUAGGGUUACCGGGGCGGGGCCGGGUCAGGGGGCGGGGCCGGGUUAGGGUUAUCAGGGCGGAGCCGGGUAAAGGGACACCCCUGGGUUAGGGUUAGUGGGGCGGAGCCGGGUAAGGGGGCGGGGCCAGGUUAGGGUUAUUGGGGAGGAGCCGGGUAAGGGGGCGGGGCCGGGUUAGGGUUAUCAGGGCGGGGCCAGGUAAGGGGGCGGGGCCAGGUUAGGGUUAUCGGGGCGGGGCCGGGUAAAGGGACACCCCUGGGUUAGGGUUAUCGGGGCGGGGCCGGGUCAGGGGGCGGGGCCGGGUUAGGGUUACCGGGGCAGAGCCGGGUAAAGGGACACCCCUGG